UACAGAGGGUGCGAGCGUUGUCCGGAAUCACUGGGCGUAAAGGGCGUGUAGGCGGGAAGGAAAGUCAGAUGUGAAAUCCCCAGGCUCAACCUGGGAACUGCAUUUGAAACUCCCUUUCUUGAGUACCGGAGAGGAAAGUGGAAUUCCAAGUGUAGCGGUGAAAUGCGUAGAGAUUUGGAGGAACACCAGUGGCGAAGGCGACUUUCUGGUCUGUAACUGACACUGAGGCGCGAAAGCGUGGGGAGCAAACAGG
rnacentral:rRNA from 1 species